rnacentral:rRNA from 1 species
AGUGAAUAGAUAGGGUAGUCCUAGCCGUAAACGAUACUCGCUAGGUGUCGGCCACGGUGCGACCGUUGUCGGUGCCGUAGGGAAAGCCGUGAAGCGAGCCACCUGGGAAGUACGGCCGCAAGGCUGAAACUUAAAGGAAUUGGCGGGGGAGCACCACAACGGGUGGAGCUUGCGGUUUAAUUGGAUUCAACGCCGGAAAUCUUACCGGGACCGACAGCGAUAUGAAGGCCAGGCUGAAGACUUUGCCGGAUUAGCUGAGAGGUGGUGCAUGGCCGUCGUCAGUUCGUACUGUGAAAGCGUCCUGUUAAGUCAGGCAACGAGCGAGACCCACGCCCACAGUUGCCAGCGUACUCUCCGGAGUGACGGGUACACUGUGGGGACCGCCGCUGCUAAAGCGGAGGAAGGAAUGGGCAACGGUAGGUCAGUAUGCCCCGAAUAUCCCGGGCUACACGCGAGCUACAAUGGUUGGUACAAUGGGUAUCUACCCCGAAAGGGGAUGGAAAUCUCCUAAAUCCAAUCUUAGUUCGGAUUGAGGGGCUGC